rnacentral:tmRNA from 1 species
GGGGAUGAUCGGUUUCGACAUUGCUUGCGACUCUGCGUGAAGCGGGUCGAGGAUGCGGGGUCAUCUCGUAAACGCCCCUCGCAACCUAUAGGUGCCAACGCUAAGCGCACCGACUUCGCCCUCGCCGCCUAGGCGAGCCCGAUAGUCCGUCAGCCCGGGAGCGCUCUCGUCCCGGAUCCUGGCGUCAUUGAGAGAGCUUGCCGCGCCGCUGCGUUUCAGGACGGCGCGGGACAUGAACUGGAACUGGGCUCGUCGAUCAACAUGCCUGUCUGCAUGAUCGGAGCCGAGCAGAACGAAUGACAGGCUGCACCCGGAGAAGACGCAGGCUCACAGCAGUGGACGGGGGUUCGAUUCCCCCCAUCUCCAC